rnacentral:lncRNA from 1 species
AAAAAAAGGAAAAGGUUCCAACCAACCACUGGAGUAAUCUGUCUAAACCGCACUUCCCAUCAGUGUGUGUUAAGGCUGUCAGAUAAGCAACAGCAAACCGAAUUAUCAGUUCUAGGGCAUCAUUAUGGCUAUUUCCUGUGUGCCUGUAAAGAUAAAUUGGAAGGAGCUGGACAAGAUAGUGAGAGUCUUUACUGAGAAGUGGAUCUGCUACUUGUGAAAGGAGAGGAGGAACAGAAGGAGAGUGAGUAGACAAAGUCUUAGGUUGCAUGGUGCAAAAAAGUAAAUGAAAUGUACAGAAGACAUUGUGUGUGUGUGUGUGUGUGUGUGUGUGUGUGUGUGUGUGUGUUAGUCACUCAGUCG